rnacentral:rRNA from 1 species
UACGAAGGGGGCGAGCGUUGUCCGGAAUUCAUUGGGCGUAAAGAGCGCGUAGGCGGCCCUGUAAGUCCGCUGUGAAAGUCAGAGGCUCAACCUCUGAAAUGCCGGUGGAUACUGCAGGGCUAGAGUCCGGAAGAGGCGAGUGGAAUUCCUGGUGUAGCGGUGAAAUGCGCAGAUAUCAGGAGGAACACCGGUGGCGAAGGCGGGUCUCUGGGCAACAACUGACGCUGAGAAGCGGAAAGCGUGGGGAGCGAACAGG